UUUAAAAUUGUUGCAGUUAAAACGUUCGUAGUUGAAUAUUAAAGAAUCCGAUGUUUCAUUUAAACUGGUUUGGAAAACCAAAUAUAUUAUAUAUUUUGCUUUGUUCAAAAUAAGGUUUUCUAAUAAAUUAUGUUUUUAUCAGAUAUGACAGAAUCUUUUUUAAAAUCUCUUCAAUAUGCUUUUAUUGCUUUUGAGAGGUUUUGUUACUUUGAGUAAAAUUAAGUGUUCAUAACAGACGGGUAGUCAUGAUUGAGUUCAUUGUGUA
rnacentral:rRNA from 1 species